GACGAACGCUGGCGGCGUGCCUAAUACAUGCAAGUAGAACGCUGAAGCGAGGAGCUUGCUCUUCUUGGAUGAGUUGCGAACGGGUGAGUAACGCGUAGGUAACCUGCCUUGUAGCGGGGGAUAACUAUUGGAAACGAUAGCUAAUACCGCAUAACAAUGUAUGACACAUGUCAUUUAUUUGAAAGGGGCAAUUGCUCCACUACAAGAUGGACCUGCGUUGUAUUAGCUAGUAGGUGAGGUAAUGGCUCACCUAGGCGACGAUACAUAGCCGACCUGAGAGGGUGAUCGGCCACACUGGGACGGAGACGCGGACCAGACGCCUACGGGAGGCAGCAGUAGGGAAUCGUCGGCAAUGGGGGCAAACCUGACCGAGCAAGGCCGAGUGAGUGAAGAAGGUUUUCGGAUCGUAAAGCUCUGUUGUAAGUCAAGAACGGGUGUGAGAGUGGAAAGUUCACACUGUGACGGUAGCUUACCAGAAAGGGACGGCUAACUACGUG
rnacentral:rRNA from 1 species